GAUGAACGCUGGCGGCGUGCCUAAUACAUGCAAGUCGAGCGAACAGAUGAGGAGCUUGCUCCUCUGACGUUAGCGGAGGACGGGUGAGUAACACGUGGAUAACCUACCUAUAAGACUGGGAUAACUUCGGGAAACCGGAGCUAAUACCGGAUAAUAUAUUGAACCGCAUGGUUCAAUAGUGAAAGACGGUUUUGCUGUCACUUAUAGAUGGAUCCGCGCCGCAUUAGCUAGUUGGUAAGGUAACGGGUUACCACGGCAACGAGGCGUAGCCGACCUGAGGGGGGGAUCGGCCGCACGGGAGCUGAGACACGGUCCUGGCUCCUACGGGAGGCACCAGUAGGGAAUCUUCCGCAGUGGGCGAAAGCCUGGCGGAGCAACGCCGCGUGAGUGAUGAAGGUCUUCGGAUCGUAAAACUCUGUUAUUGGUGAAGAACAAAUUUGUAAGUAACUAUGCACGUCUUGACGGUACCUAAUCAGAAAGCCACGGCUAACUACGUG
rnacentral:rRNA from 1 species